UAAAAAUGGAGACACUAGCCCUGUCAAACUC
rnacentral:piRNA from 1 species